UGUUAAGUUGUAAAAAGAAGAAAAUAAAGAAAACCGAAAACUUCGGUUUUAUCCCACCGCCUCCCACGCUCUCUCUGUUUCUUCGAGAAACAGAGAGAAGCGGUGGGGCGUGGGGAGAAGAAGAAGAGAAGUAGAGGGAGAAGAGAAGAAGAGGGAAAAGAAGAGAGGAAGAAGAGGGAGAAGAGAAGAAAAGAAGAAGUAGAAGAGAGGGAAGAUGGAGAGGAGAAAGAGAGGCAGCUGCAGCAGCUAGGGCUGCAGCACCUCUGUUUCCCGCUGGUGGAAACAGAGGAGAGGAUGUGUGGGGUGUUGAGGAUGAAAAGGGAAGAAGAAGAAGAAGAAGAAGAAGAAGAGAGGAGGAUAGCUGCGGCAAGGCUGCAGCGAGGAGGUGUGUGGCCUUGGGGAGGAAAAAGGGAAGAGGAGAAGAAGAGAAGGAGAAGAAGAGGUAAAAGAGAGGGAAGACGGAGAGGAGCGAGAGGUGGCAGCAGCUAGGGCUGCAGCACCUCUGUUUCCUGCAGGUGGAAACAGAGGAGACGUGUGGGGUGUCGGGUAGGAGAAGAGCAGAAGAAGAAGAAGAGGAAGAGAAGAAGAAGAGGAAGCAGGAGAAGAGGUUGUGAUACCUCUGUUCCCUGCAGAGGAAACAGAGGAGAGGGUGUGUGUGACGCCGGGAAGAAGAAGGGGAGGAAGGAGAAGAAGAGAAGAAGAAGAAAGGAAGGAGAAGGAACAGGAGAAGGGAAAGAAGUAGCUGCGGCUGCGGCUGUGGCAGCUGCAGCUAUGGCAGGGAAAGAGGAAGAGAAAGGAAGAAGGGAAGGAGAGGAAGAAGAGAAGGGAAAGAAGGGGCUGCGGCUGCAGCGAUGGCAGCUGCAGUUGGAAGAGAAGAAGGAGAGGAAGAUGAGCAGGGGAGGGUGGCAGCUGCAGCUAUGGCAGGGAAAGAGGAAGAGAAAGGAAGAAGGGAAGGAGAGGAAGAAGAGAAGGGAAAGAAGGGGCUGCGGCUGUGGUGGCUGCGGCCAUGGUUGCGACUGCGACUGCGGCAGUUGCAGCUGGGAAAGAAAAGAAAGGAAAGGAGGAAAAAGGGGUUGCGGACGGGAUUGCGGCCGCAGCGGCCGCGACUGCGUAUGCAGCAGUUAUGUAUGCGAGAGAAGGGAGGAAGGAAGGUAGUGCGGUGGAAGGGGCUGCGAUUGUAGCAGCGGCAGCGGCGACGAUUGUGGCAGCUGCGUUUGGGAAAGAAAAAGAAGGAAUGAGAGUAAGAGAGAGCAGGUGACUGUGCCUCGAUGUUCGACACGUGGUGUAGUUGCGAAGAAAGGAAGAAAACGAGAACACAAAAUGAAACAGAGAGAGGACACGGAGGAAAAGUAGAAGGAUUUGGGCUGGCACCUUCUUUGGAUCUUCGGAUCGAAAUCUUUGAAAGGUCAGCUUGUCACUCUUCGAGAUGUUGAUUUGGGCUGAGGCAGUGGAUAGCUAUUCAGAAUUAUGGGCAAGUCUGGGUGGUUAUUAUGAUAUUGUUGUAUAAGUAUGUUUUGUAUGUAAUGAAAUGUUGUCGAUGAAUCGAAAUGGAUAUACUGUGUAAAAGUGUUAGAAGAUCUCUCUUAUUUGGAAUUUCGGAAUGUUAAGUCUAAUUUAUGACGAUAUGAACUUGUGGUGAA